AUUUAAAUAGUUUAAGAAAAAUAUUGAUUUGUGGAGUCAAAGUUAUAUAAAAUAUUUUAAAUA
rnacentral:tRNA from 1 species